UACGUAGGGUCCGAGCGUUGUCCGGAAUUACUGGGCGUAAAGAGCUCGUAGGUGGUUUGUCGCGUUGUUCGUGAAAACUCACAGCUCAACUGUGGGCGUGCGGGCGAUACGGGCAGACUUGAGUACUGCAGGGGAGACUGGAAUUCCUGGUGUAGCGGUGGAAUGCGCAGAUAUCGGGAGGAACACCGGUGGCGAAGGCGGUUCUCUGGGCCUUACCUGACGCUGAGGAGCGAAAGCGUGGGGAGCGAACAGG
rnacentral:rRNA from 1 species